CGAACGUAGACAUGGCAGACGCUGGUCAAAGUGGAGUAUCUGUUCUUAUCGGCCUAAUAUCUGAUACGAGUUGUAUAUGGACCCAAGAUAUUAAACUUAUUUUUGCAAAUCGGAAUAGAG
rnacentral:lncRNA from 1 species